rnacentral:rRNA from 1 species
GACGAACGCUGGCGGCGUGCUUAACACAUGCAAGUCGAGCGGUAAGGCCCUUUCGGGGGUACACGAGCGGCGAACGGGUGAGUAACACGUGGGUGACCUGCCCUCAGCUCUGGGAUAAGCCUGGGAAACCGGGUCUAAUACUGGAUAUGACUCCAUGACGCAUGUUGUGGGGUGGAAAGCCUUGUGCGGCUGAGGAUGGGCCCGCGGCCUAUCAGCUUGUUGGCGAGGAACGGCUCACCAAGGCUACGAUCGAUAGGGGGUCUGAGAGGAUGAUCCCCCACACUGGUACUGAGACACGGACCAGACUCCUACGGGAGCAGCAGUAAGGAAUAUUGGACAAUGGUCGCAAGACUGAUCCAGCCAU